CGGCUGUGGAGUCUGAGACGCGUACCUGGAUUGGAUGCCUGAACCCGUGGUGAAUGGGACUCCCUUCCCCAUUGGUUCUUUUCAUUGUACCACUCGGAGACAGGUGGAGUUGAGCUGGACCGAGGAGAAAAGGAAAGAGAGCAACUGGUUGCUGGUGCUCCCACACCUAGUUGGCGGGGUUCUGGAGGCAUCUGCCCAGCUGGGCAUCUCAGAGCUGGGUGGCUCUGAGCUGGCAGCUGGCCCUGCUCAGCAAAGAAAGAACAGUAAGUACUCUGUUCUCAAUUAGGUCUAGUGUGUAACCCUCAGGGGCAGGCACAGGCUCCCUCCUGACCUCCUGUACUUUAACUCCUUAGUCCUCUGAGUGCUAAUAGCUGGGACUAAGGAGGGGAGAGAGCCCAGAAACAGGAGAGCUCACUCCCUGGACAGUCUGCAGAGACCUUCUGACAACCGGCCUUCCUUCCAAAGGCCAUGGUUCCUCCCUCCUCCCAUAUCUGGAUAAAGAAUGCUGGUGCAAUUCUGGUUUCCUUUUUUGUUUUCAUACUCCAGUGAGUCCUUCAAUGCUACUUCAGAAAUAUCAAACAUAAAGCUUUUCCCAAAAGCAGUUGACAGUUGCCCCAAGCUCAUGCUGAUACUGCCCAGGAGGUAACAUGCAUAUACCCAGAGGAAUUCUGGAAUUAAUCUUAAGGUUAGAAACAUCAUUUAAAAAAAAAAAGUAUCCUUCUGAGAAAACUGAGGUGUUCCUAUGAUCUGAGACCAAAGUGCUCUUUUUUUUUUUCAUUUAAAUGUACUUAUGUGUGUCUGCAUAUGUGCAUGUGUGUUCAGGUUAAAGGCUGUCCAGUGUGGGUGCUGAAAACAAAACUAGGGUCCUCUGCAAGAGCAAUAUUCUGUCUUAAUCACUGAGUCAUUGCUCCAGCCUCAAACAAACAGAAGUCUGCUCCCUAAAGAAAGUUAUAUUUUGUUUGAAGAUUAUAUUUUAAUACAUUAAAAGAAAUUUAAAAUAUUAUUAUGUAAAAUUCCCACCAAGGAGGAGAAUUUUAAAAAUACAAUGAAGAGUCCCGCCACGGGAAACCUUGCCUGGUCCAUUCAGGGUUCUCAUGCCAUGUUUGCCCUGGGAGGCCUGCUCCUUUCUGAAGGAAAAUGGAGGAAGAGUGGAUCUGGGGGAGAGGGAAGGUUGGGACUGGAAGGAAAGAAGGGAGGGGAAACUGGCUGGGAUAUAAUAUAUGAAAGAAUAAUAAAUUUAAAAAAAAUGAACAGGACUAGAGAGGUGACUCUACAGUUCAAGCUUUUGCUGCUCUCCCAGGGUACUAGGAAUUAGUCCCAGCACCAGAGGGCAGCUCACAAGAGUUUGUAAUUCUAGUUCCAGGGGACUCAACAGUCUCUUCUAGCCUUCAUGGGAACAAAAGUGACACACAGAGACAGGUUCAGGCAAAACACUUACACACAAACGGUAAAACUAAAGUAAAACUAACAUUACCGAUACCCAGGCCUCUUUCUGUGCAGCCCUCCAUGCUGAGCCUUCUGUAUGGUGGGCUGCAUCCUUCGGCUGUUAAAAGCACCAUGUGGUUCCAGUGAGAGGCCAGCCUUCGAGGGAUGGAGCCAUCAAGGAUUCAGCAGCUGAGAGGACUUCCUCUUGCAAGGAACAGAAUUUGAUUCCAAGCACCCACACUGGAUGGCUCUCGACUGUCUGUAGCUCCAAUUUCUGGGGAUCUAAAAGGCAGCUUCAUGUAUGUGGUGCACAUACAGGCAUGCACACACACACAAAAUAAAUCUUGGGAGUGGGGAGAAGAAACUUACUUUGACUCCAAUAAGGAGCCUGCACCCAACCAAUUGGUUCAACACUAAUUAAAUCAAGAACUGAAACGUCCACAGGUCUUCAUCUGGAUUCAAUGUUCUAAAGUAUACAUAUUUACUUGAGUAGAGAGGGAAAUCAAGACUUCUGUUUAACACAACUCCAGUGACUCUGCCAGGGAAAACGGACUAGAAGCUAAAGCACUCACGUGUUUUUUUCAAUGAAAUUUUUUUGGCCACAGUUUCAAAAAUGAAUUCCUUUUAUACUCUGCCACCCUUUUUGUCUACAUAAAUCUGCAACUUUAACACUCAAUAAGUGGAUGGCUUCAAAUGGACUUUACAGAGAACCUGAGUUUGGAUCUAGUUCCCAUGGAAAAGCCGAGAGUAGCAGUGUGUGCCCAUAACCCCAGCUCUUGGGGACAGAGGCAGGCAGAUCCGAAGUCUCCCAGGCCAGCCAGACUAGCUGAUGAUGCAUUCAGUGUGAGAGCUUGUUCUCAAAAAUCAAGUGGCUUUACCAUGAAGGGGUGUUGAAUUUUGUCAAAUACCUUCUCAGCUUCUAAUGAGAUGAUCAUGUGUUUUCUUUAAGUUAGUUUAUAUAGUGAUGUAUUUCUGUAUAUUGAACCAUCCUUGCAUCCCUGGGAUGAAGCCUACUUGAUCAUGGUAGAUGAUCAUUUUGAUGUGUACUUGGAUUCAGUUUGUGAGAAUUUUAUUGAGUAUUUUUGCAUCAAUAUUCAUAAGGGAAAUUGGUCUGAAGUUCUCUUUGUUGGGUCUUUUUAGGGUUUAGGUAUCAGUGUAACUGUGGUUUCAUAGAAAGAAUUGGGCAGUUCUUUCUGUUUCUAUUCAUGGAAUAGUUUGAGGAGUAUUAGCAUUAGAUCUUCUUUGAAGGGCUGAUAAAAUUCUACACUAAACCCAUUUAGUCCUGGGAUUUUUUGAUUGGGAGACUUCUAAUGACUGCUUCUAUUUACUUGGGGGUUAUGGGGCUGUUUAGAUGGUUUAACUGAUUCUGAUUUAACUUUGGUACCUGGUAUCUGUCUAGAAAAUUGUCCGUUUCCUCCAGAUUUUACAGUUUUGUUGAGAUUAGUCUUUUGUAGUAGGAUCUGAUGAUUUUUUAAAUUUCCUCAGUUUCUGUUGUUAUGCUUCCUUUUUCAUUUCUGAUUUUAUUAAUUUGGAUACUGUCUCUGUGCCCUCUGGCUUGUCUAGCUAAGGGUUUAUCUAUCUUGUUGAUUUUCUCAAAGAACCAGCUCCUGGUUUUGUUGAUUCUUUGUAUAGUUCUUCUUGUUUCUACUUGGUUGAUUUCAGCCCUGAAUUUGAUUAUGUCCUGCCUCUACUCCUCUUGGAUGUAUUUGCUUCUUUUUGUUCUGGAGCUUUCAGAUAUGAUGUGAAGCUGCUAGUGUAUGGUCUCUCCAAUUUCUUAUUGGAGGCACUCAGAGCUAUGAAUUUUCUUCUUAGCACUGCUUCAUUGUGUCCCAUACGUUUGGAUAUGUUGUACCUUCAUUUUCAUUAAAUUCUAAAAUGUCUCUCUACUUUAUUUAUUUCUUCCUUGACCAAGAAGCACCUAAAGAAAUGUUCGAUAUCUUUAGUCAUCAGGGAAAUGCAAAUCAAAACAACCCUGAGAUUCCACCUCAUACCAGUCAGAAUAGCUAAGAUCAAAAACUCAGAUGACAGCAGAUGCUAUCAAGGAUGUGGUGAAAGAGGAACACUCCUCCAUUGUUGAUGAGAUUGCAAGCUGGUACAACCACUCUGGAAAUCAGUCUGUAGGUUCCUCAGAAAAUUGGACAAAUACCCAAAAGAUGUUCCAACAUACAACCAAAACACAUGCUCCACUAUGUUCAUCGCAGCCUUAUUUAUAAUAGCCAGAAGCUGGAAAGAACCCAGAUGCCCUUCAACAGAGGAAUGGAUACAGAAAAUGUGGUACAUCUAUACAAUGGAGUACUACUCAGCUAUCAAAAACAAUGACUUUAUGAAAUUCAUAGGCAAAUGGAUGGAACUAGAAAAUAUCUGAGUGAGGUAACCCAGUCACAAAAGAGCACACAUGGUAUGCACUUACUGAUAAAUGGAUAUUAACCCAAAAGCUUGGAAUACCCAAGAUACAAUUCACAGACCAUAUGAAGCGCAAGAAGAAGGAAGACCAAAGUGUGGAUGCUUCAGUCCUUCUUAGAAGGGGGAACAACAUAGUCAGGGGAGGUAGGAGGUGGGAGAACUUUGGAAGAAGAGAGGAGAGGGAGGGGGAGAAGGGGGAGCAGAAUCAGGUAUGGGAGGAGAUGGGGAUGAUAUACACAGGGUGAGGAAUUUGAACAGAGGUGUGUAGCAAUGGGGGAUGGGAACUGGGGGUAGCCACCAGCAAGUCCCAGAUGCCAGGAAAGCAAGAGGCUCCCAGGAUGCAAAAGGAAUGAGAUUAGCUGAAAUGCCCAACAAAGGGGAGGGAGAACCUUUAGAGACCAUAUCUAGAGUUAGGCAAGGCCCCCAGUUAGGGGAUAGAGCCACUCACUCAUCUCCAAAUUUUUAACCCAGAAUUUCUCCUGUCUAAAGGAAAUAUGGAGGCAAAGUGUGGAGCAGAGACUGAAGGCAAGGCCAUCCAGAGAUUGCCCCACCUGGGGAUCCAUCCCAUAUACAGACACCAAACCCAGACACUAUUGCAGAUGCCAAGAAGUGCUUGCUGACAGGAGCCUGAUAUAGCUGUCUCAUGAGAGACUCUGCCAGAGCCUGGCAAAUACAGAGGCAGAUGCUUGAAGCCAACCAUUGGACUGAGCACAGGGAUCCCAAUAGAGGAGUUAGAGAAAGGACUGAAGGAGCUGGAAAGGGUUUGCAACCCCAUAGGAAGAACAACAAUAUCAACCAACCAGACCCCCCCCCACACACACACACCCAGAGCUCCCAGGGACUAAACCACCAACCAAAGAGUACACAUGAAGGGACCCAUGGCUCCAGCCGCAUAUGUAGUAGAAGAUGGCCUUGCCGGGCAUCAAUGGGAGAAGAGGACUUUGAUCCUGUGAAGGUUCAAUGCCCCAGUGUAGGGGAAUGCCAGGGCAGGGAGUCGGGAACGGGUCGGUACCCUCAUAGAAGCAGGGGGAGAGGAAAUGGUACAGGGUGGUUCCGGAGGGGAAACUGGGAAAGGGGAUAACAUUUGAAGUGUAAAUAAAUAAGAUAUCCAAUAAAAAUAUUUUAAAAAGUGUAAUCACGUGGCAAGGUACUGAAGUAGAUAGAUACCCAGGGUUGACCUGUAGACUCCACAGUCACAUGUAUGUGAGAGUGCACCCACAUGCAUACAUGCAUGCCCAAAAGCAUAUACCACACAGGCAAACACAGAAAUAAAUGGAUAGAUAAAUAAAUAUUGUAGAGAAUAGUGUGUUUUAUUCUGAGUUAAAACACACACAUGUACCUGCAACCCAGAGAGUCCUAUUGAAAAACAGAACAUCCCAGCCCCUCAGAAAACUUCCCACAUGAUCCCAUUAAAAUAGUCUGUCCCCAGGUAGUCACUGUUGUGUUUUAGCUUAAAUUAUAGAUUUCUCUUCUAUAUAAAAGAAAUAUAAUUGAUCACAUGUGUUUUGUGUCUGAUGUUUCUCUGAAUGCAAAGCAUGUUUUUAUCCAUAUUUAUUCAUGAUUGCACCAUCAUGGGGGAAUGUUAGCCAGAAGAAGUUGUAUCACAUGGCCUAGAAGGAGUAGCUAACAUUGAAUGACACAUAGAGACACAUCACAACUCACAGAUCAGUUUACCAGUUAGCGGAUUCUGGGCGAGUUUCAGUCUGGGGCUAUUAUGAAUCAUGAUGUCUUGUGCUGACAUCUUUGUGGAUGUGUGUUUUCAUGUGUAAUAAAUACCUGGAAUUGCGUGUG